CCCACUGGGGAAUACUAGGGUUUUCUUUCCUUCCUCACUAUUGCCAAAGUGAGGGGAUUCUAGAAAACUUAUUCUGAAAGCCUCGGAGGCAGUGCUAUCAGCAGGGAAGAUGAGCAUCUCAUUUCCCAGUGGAACCUCCAAUGAGGCAGCAGAUGGGUCGAUCCUGCCCUCUGCCUCCCUGGAGAGGGAAGGAAGAGUGAGGGUUGCUUGAGUGUCCUCAAGGCAGGGCAGCUGACCUCACCCCGAGAGAACAAGCCAAAGGCCCAAGGUAGCACCGCAGGGUCUCAUAUGACCAAGCCUCAGAAGUCAUGCACUGUCCCUCUGACAGAAUGCUGCCUGUCACCCAGGCCAGCUUUGAUUCAGUGUGAGAGGAGACUACAGAUGGACAUGAACACCAGUGGGUAUGCACCACUGGGGCCAACCCAGAGGCCGAAGAUCACAUGCAUCUUGCUGGCUUCUCACCCAGAAGGACUGGCCUGGGAAUGGGGAGCCCUGGAGAGGAGCUGAGGGGGCAAGAAGACAUCAAACCCGAGGCAGGUCUCUCUCCUUAUGGCCCUGAGCUGGGAGGAAGGCCCCACAGUGUUCUGUGGAUAACGUGCAGGUGCCCUAUGUGAGACUCUGGGCACACAGAGGGCGCUGAUGGCCAGUGAGCAUAGCCGGAGAAGCAGAAGUGACCCCAUAUCAUCUAUGAAGAAGACUUCUGGCCAGGCAUGGUGGCUCAGACCCAUAAUCCCAGCAUUUUGGGAGGCCAAGCUGGGCAGAUGGCU
rnacentral:lncRNA from 1 species